rnacentral:rRNA from 1 species
AAACACCAGAGCUUGCUCUACCGUUUAUGUUGAGUAGCGGGCGGGUGAGUAACGCGUGGGUAACCUACCUUAUAGCGGGGGAUAACUAUUGGAAACGAUAGCUAAUACCGCAUAACAAUGUUAGAUGCAUAUUUAACAUUUGAAAGUACCAAUUGGUACACUAUGAGAUGGACCCGCGUUGUAUUAGCUAGUUGGUAGUGUAAUGGACUACCAAGGCGAUGAUACAUAGCCGACCUGAGAGGGUGAUCGGCCACAUUGGGACUGAGACACGGCCCAAACUCCUACGGGAGGCAGCAGUAGGGAAUCUUCGGCAAUGGACGAAAGUCUGACCGAGCAACACCGCGUGAGUGAAGAAGGUUUUCGGAUCGUAAAACUCUGUUGUUAGAGAAGAACGUUGAUUAGAGUGGAAAAUUAAUCAAGUGACGGUAUCUAACCAGAAAGGGACGGCUAACUACGUGCCAGCAGCCGCGGUAAUACGUAGGUCCCGAGCGUUGUCCGGAUUUAUUGGGCGUAAAGCGAGCGCAGGUGGUUUAAUAAGUCUGAUGUAAAAGGCAGUGGCUCAACCAUUGUGUGCAUUGGAAACUGUUAGACUUGAGUGCAGUAGAGGAGAGUGGAAUUCCAUGUGUAGCGGUGAAAUGCGUAGAUAUAUGGAGGAACACCGGUGGCGAAAGCGGCUCUCUGGACUGUCACUGACACUGAGGCUCGAAAGCGUGGGUAGCAAACAGGAUUAGAUACCCUGGUAGUCCACGCCGUAAACGAUGAGUGCUAGUUGUUUGGGGCUAUCCAGCCCUAAGUGACGCAGCAAACGCAUUAAGCACUCCGCCUGGGGAGUACGACCGCAAGGUUGAAACUCAAAGGAAUUGACGGGGGCCCGCACAAGCGGUGGAGCAUGUGGUUUAAUUCGAAGCAACGCGAAGAACCUUACCAGGUCUUGACAUACUCGUGCUAUUCCUAGAGAUAGGAAGUUCCUUCGGGACACGGGAUACAGGUGGUGCAUGGUUGUCGUCAGCUCGUGUCGUGAGAUGUUGGGUUAAGUCCCGCAACGAGCGCAACCCUUAUUGUUAGCUGCCAUCAUUAAGUUGGGCACUCUAGCGAGACUGCCGGUAAUAAA